AGCUUUACGCAGUGGCAGUAUCGUAGCCAAUGAAGUUUAUCCCAGGCAUGAUUACUGCUAAUUAAAAAAAAAAAAAAAAGGCUAAAACAAUAAAUUUUAUGUUCCGUGCAUUUUACCGUAC
rfam:Camelus ferus unplaced genomic scaffold scaffold706, whole genome shotgun sequence.